UUCAGUGGAUUUGCCUUCGGACUGUUACCUCACCGUGGACUUAAAAAUCUAUUUUGAAACUCAGUUCUGAACCCUUGGUUGGGUUCUGUCCUUCUAAAGUGAUUACAAACAUGGCCACAGAUUCUCUGCAGCCACUCCAGUGGGAGGGGAGUCGUUUUCCCCUCUAAGUCUGGGCUGGCCUGGGAGUUGUUUGGAUCAGGACAGUGCUGAAGAAGGGAGAUGUCUGAGUCCCUGGCUCAGCUCUGGACACCUCGGAACUUCUGCUCUCGCCCUGAGAACCCUUCCGGCACUGUGUCCACAAGCCCUGACUGCCGUUCUGCUGGGAGAGGAACCACAGGGAGAGAGGCACCAGUCACCUCGGCUGUCAGGAGCCAUCCAGCCCAGGCCCAGACAUCUGGGCAAGCUCAGGUGGAACCAUGCAGCCCCCCAGAACAGGACAGUCAUCUGAGCCUGACGUCAAAUGCCAACCACAGACUGGUGAGAAACAACCUGCUGUUGUUUAAAGCCCUUAAGUUGGAGGUGGUUUGUUAUGUAGCAAAAGGUGACACACCUCCCAUGAAACAAACUGGAGACCCUGCAGCAUUCCUGCCAUUUCUCACGUGGCCACCAGAGGGCGGUGCGUGGCUGCUCAUGACAAUGACACAGCCCCACAUAAGUCAACAGUUUACAAAUUAAUCCUCUUCAGAACGUGUUUUCUAAGCUUAGAGAAUUUAUUUAAGGAUUAUUUAUUGGCUUUCCUUCUUCAAUUUCUUUGGACUCUAAUGAAAAUUCCCUACAAAUAACAACUAUGCCCUGACUGGAAGAUGUCCCUCACUACACACGCAGACCCAAAAUUCUAAAUGAUGGGAUGAAGGGGGGUCCUUACCUAAAAUAAUAUUAAAAAAUUAACCCAAAAUGGAUCAAAGACCUCAAUUUAAGAGCUAAAACUACACAACUCAUGGAAGAAAACAUAGGCACAAAUCUUCAUGACCUUGGAUUUAGCAUCUGUUUCUCAAGGGUGACACCAAAAUCAACCAAGGAAAAAACAGAUAUACCGGAUAGAUGGCCACCAACGUGAUUGUCGUUCCGUGUGGCUCUUACUGUGCUCCAGGCACCAGGCAAGAAUUGCACAGGCAUUUCUCAACUAAUUCUCCUGACAACACAUUAAACCGCACCAUUUACUUUCUCCCUUUUAAAGACGGGGUCACUGAGACUCAGAGCCUUGCCUGGGGCCGCCCAGCUGGAAGGAGGCUGAGCAGGGACUAGAACUGCGGUCUCUGUCUUUGGACUCUGCACCCACACUGCUCCCCCCUGGAGCUCAGGGGUCCAGAAUUCCUCCAGAUCCAAUCCCCUAGGCCUUGAGACCUCACUGAGCUCAGGGGGCAGUGUCAUCCCCUAUGACUGGGGCUUGCCAUGUUGGCUGGGAUGGCCGGCCUGGGGCCCUGGGGGCUCUCCCUGUACCAAGACCCAAUCCCUGGGCAGGAACCCUUCUGCUUAGUCCUUCCUGCUCUCUACUCUCCCUUGAUCCCUGCUCAGUGGAGCUUCUCUCUCUUUCCCUGGGGAGAGCCCUGAGUUUCCUCCCUCUGAAGAACUGUGUGCUCUGACUGGGGGGCCCCAUCUCUUGGCAGA
rnacentral:lncRNA from 1 species